rnacentral:rRNA from 1 species
UACGUAGGCAGCGAGCGUUGUUCGGAAUUACUGGGCGUAAAGAGGGUGUAGGCGGUGUUCCCAGUCUGUUGUGAAAUCUCCCGGCUUAACUGGGAGGGUGCAGCGGAAACUAGAAUGCUAGAGGGUGGGAGAGGUAAGCGGAAUUCCUGGUGUAGCGGUGAAAUGCGUAGAUAUCAGGAGGAACACCUGUGGUGUAGACAGCUUACUGGACCACUUCUGACGCUGAGACACGAAAGCGUGGGUAGCAAACAGG